rnacentral:lncRNA from 1 species
CUCUCAUCCAAUCAGAACAUGUAGUCCAGGAACCUAAUUUGCAUAACCUUUGUAAGCGAGAGUCUUGCCAUUCCAGGUUCUUCUACGUCUGCCCGCCCAUCUGUUCCGACCCCAGAUUAGAGAAGGAGUUGUCACCGGUGGCAUGCUGGAGGCUUGAGCCUGCAGCAGCAUGGCUCGCCUCACUGUGGCUGGUGGCAGUGAGGUAGAGUACAGCACAGCCAAAGUGGUAGAAAGGUGGCAGAGUAGGUGAGCUAUCCAGGGACUUGUGGCGGGGGGAGAGGGGCAGUGAGCUCAGGGGCCAAGGAUUGGAUGCACUAUCGUGAACUACACUGCCCAAGGCUUUUCUGGCUUUGCCCAUCCAGUUGCUCCGUGCCAGGAGAAGGAGUAGCCACCUGCACAUGCUGGAGGCUGGAGCCAGGGACACCACGGCUUGCCUCGCUGUGGUUGGCGUGGUGGCAGCGAUGGAGACUGCAGAGUGCCAGAGAGGUAGGAUUCUAUGAUGUUCCUGAUGGCCAGAUUGAGAAUCUGUUCUGAGCUACACCUGUGCUCUCCUUCAGAUGGAGUGAUAUGAGGCCUCCAGCCCAGCACCAGGUAAAGCACAUAUGACCUUGAGCCCCCAUAGCUCUGCACACCACACACCUCCACAACCAUCCUCCACGUGUGCACGUUUCCCACAUAGAGAGGAAAAGUUGCAAUACUGAAGUAGAAGAAAGUAUUAACUUACAGGAUAAGUCUCUGGGCACUGACUAAGCGUUAUUUCAUUGGUCUUCGAGAGAAAUUUGAUUUUCUGCAUUUGAUAUUGUAAGCCAGUAUGACAUAAGAUCCCAAGGGCUUCUAUCCCCUCAUCUUGAUGUCACUAGAACUGGCCAUAGCUUUGGUUCCAUCUGCCCUCAGUUCACAGGCUAUGUCAGAAGAGCUCCAACUCUUCUCUUAUCCCUGGCCAUUCCUCAAAUCAAGGCAGGGUGGCAAAUUCCUCACCCACACUUACUCACUGAGUGCUGUCAAAUAUGAGGGGUAAGAAUCCAAUCAAAAAUGGUCUAAAGAUUUUAAUAGACGUUUCUCAAAAUAUGAUAUAUAAAUGGCUAAUAGGCACAUAAAAAUGUGCUCAACAUCAUCAAUCAUAGAAAUGCAAAUCAAAACUACAAUGAUAUAUCAUCUCAUCACAGUUAAAACGGCUUAUAUCCAAAAGACAGGCAAUAACAAAUGCUGGUGAGGAUGUACACUGUUGGUGG